rnacentral:lncRNA from 1 species
AUGUGUUCCGUUAUGAAAACUCUUUACAUUCUCUAUAAAAGGUACCUAAAGGGAAAUCAUAAUUGCCCCUUAAACUAAUCAAUAAGUACAAUUACUACCAUCAAGUAAUUGUCGGAGACUAGUUAUGCCAUAUUGGUAAUGUUACCAAAUGAUCCGUAAGGCCACAUCAACGGGUUAUUUCUAACAUUCAGAUAACGGUGAAAACAUCAAAACCCACAACAUAUAUGUAACUCCUUACAAACAGAGCCCUUUUAUAAUCCAAAAAUAAAAAAAAUGGAAACUUGGCGGAUUGCAUAGUAGUUAGCGGAGCUAUUGAAACUCGUCUUAGGUUGCGUGAUUGCACACAAUAAAAUUGUUAAUUAACAAUUUAACAUGUUAAUCACAUGUUAAAACAUAGGUAGAGUGUGUGCAUAGGGAAGAUUAUAUUAAUCUACAAAGAGGAUUAAAAUGACAUAACUGACUAUGUAUACUCUUAUAUAAAGCAUACUAGGUUAGAAACCCGUGUAUUACACGGAGUUGUACAUUAAAAACAAUAUAAUUUAUUUUUUUUACCAAACAUCUCAUCACUGAAAUCACUUAUUGUUACAUGUAAUAAUGGUAAAAUAAAAGGUAUAAUAAUAUAUCAUAAAAUUUAAAUGCCGAUUUGUAUAAAAUGCAAUAUAUAGCUGGUUAAACUCAUCAAAAAGCAAUGUUUUAUAACCCCCAUGUAAAGAAAACUUUUUUACUUAUAAAGUAUGUUUCUAAAAGUAUAUCUUUGAAAAACAAUUAAAUAAAAUAAAAAAAGUAUAACAAUAUACCUCCACAUAUUUUUCAAGCACCUCAUUUACAAAGUUUUUUAAUUAUUUUAGUAGUCUCAAGUAUACCUAUAAUAUUACCGAGUUAAACUAUACAACUUUUGGUGUACAUUUGACGAGGUUUUAUUUUUUUAAAAGGGUGUAGUUGACAAAAUUAUUUACCAAAAUGACUUGUUUCAAAAGUAUUUAUCAAAAUGGAUUCUUUUAUAAAAAAAACAAAGAAAUACUAAAAAUUCUCUAACCAUCCGAUCUUCUUCCUUGUUAAAUCUGGGGACUCCAUGGUUAUCGCCACCAAAUCACUACACCCUUUUG